UACAGAAGUUGAGCAUACAUAUUAUCAUUUUAAAGUUGAAAAUGAAUUUCUCAAGGGAGCUUUGAGAAGAUUCUCUCAGUUUUUUAUUUCACCCCUUGUAAAAUUUGAAGCAAUGGAUCGAGAGGUGCUUGCCGUGGAUUCUGAAUUUAACCAGGUUUUGCAGAAUGAUAUUUGUGGCCUUCAGCAACUCCAGUGCCAUACAUCUGAACACGGUCACUCUUUUAAUAGAUUCUUUUGGGGUGAGAUCCUUGUCAUUGUUGUUCACUUUUUGAAUGAUUUGUUUAUGUCUACUGGUAUGAAAAUGGGAAUUUUGGUUUUCUUAAAUGGUAUGAAACAAGAAGAGCCUGGUUGAUGCUGCCGAGAGAGGGUUUGAUCUACGCAAACAAAUACUAGAACUAUAUAAAGAUUAUUACCAUGGUGGACUGAUGAAGUUAGUAGUAAUUG